GGAGUAACUUAAGGGGUUGAAAGCAUCUGCGUUAAUAUACCCGUAUCCCAAAUAAUAAACACGCGAGCUGUAUGCGUAUGUGUGGUCAUCGUCGUGCCUUUAAAUCUACACUAUGAAAAACUCGACAGGAUCAACGAUUGAGCGAGUGAGCGAGCGAGCAUAUAUAUGUAUGUAUGUAUGUAUAGAGAGAGAGGGGAAAGGGGGGAGCAUCACACUUGCGUGCAGGAUUUGGGUCUACUUGUGGGAAGCGGAAAGAAGUGAAAAGAAAAAGACAAAAAGAAAGAGUUGGACGCGAGUGAGCGCGACACGCCGAGAAGCAAUAUCCUAUAUUCGCAGCGCGUAUUUAAUGCGUAUUUAAUGCGUAUUUAAAUGCGACUGUUCGUUGGUCCACAGAUUUAUAUGUGGCACGCGUCAAAAAGAAUGAAGCUUUGAGAUUGAGAUUUCAAUUGUGACGAUUUAAACCGAACAGUACAUGAGAUAAUUCGUUGAUAAUUUUUGAAAUUGAAGAGAUCAAAAAGAAGGCGAUAUUAUGUCUGAAAAAGGACAGACGUUCGUGUAAAGAGAAUAGUGAGAACCAUUGGAGCUACAUGUGACUGCUCUGAGUCACUUUGAAUGAUGCGUCCAACUUGAAACGCGACGCUAAUUGCAAAAGACACACAAGACAGCGAUAACGAUCUCGAGCGCGAUUACGUGACACUUGUCUCGCAGCUCGCUACGAACGUACCAAACUCGAUCUUUAUAUUUGCAUGGUUACGUUUAGAGCUAAACGCACUGCUACACGAGCGCGUGAAUGCAGUCCACGGGACGAUAACGAAAUAUAAAAGUAGGCGCAGCUAAAUAAAAAGAUAGCUCUACGUGGGAAGAGAAAGUUUUCUGUUGUUGCUGUGACGACAUGGUUGUGGUGAUGCUUGGCUUUCUUCUGAACCUGGUCUUUCUGCGUGUGGUAUACUUUACCGCACAAGGGAGUUCCGCAUUCGCGUAGCAUGAGAGAGAGAACAAACAAAAAGAGAGAAAUUUGUUUUUUUCCUUCUGUGCGCCUCAAGAGAACGAGGAUGAAAGAUUGCGAUUGUGGUGGUCAGUGGCAGGGAAGAUGGUGAUUGAGGAGAGAGAGAGAGAGAGAGAGAAGUGGAGGGGUUCUUUAGUCGUGACAGAGAUACGCUGACAGGUAUACUGAGAGAAUGUGUAUGUGUGUGUGUGUGUGUGUGUGUGUGAGAGAGAGAGAGAGGGAGAACGAGCGAAAUAGAACGAGAGAAAUAGCGAGAUUGAGAGAGACAGACAAUUAGACGUAGCGGAACUCUGAGCGAAAGAGACGUCUCUCCGACUUUUCACACAAUUCGUGUAUCAUAGUGACGACGGCGACGCAUUGGUAUGACGCACAGACUGGCUCGUAACGCGCGCAUUUGCACUACUGCCGCGAUGCGACACGGGCUUACACCAGCGCGCCCGAGUAUCCUCUGUUGAUUUUAUCGACUGCCGCUUACUCUAGAGCCGAUUUAACCAUAUUUCCGAUGAUAAUCUGGUGGUGGGUCCGUGUAAUCCUGCUGAAGAUUGAAGAGUUCAGAGUUAUUCUUCUGCAGAUAUUGCAAGAAUUCAUGAAAAUGUGUUAGCAACAAUUGAAUGCUCCUUUCAUCUAAAGGUAACGCCGGCAAUUUGUGAUGCUUCAAUAUCACUUCAGAUUCAUCAAUUAGGACAAACUUCAAUUCUUCGGGUUCAGACGUAGAAUCAUGAGAGGAUGAAGGUGUCGCCAUGCUGCUUGAGCCUUUGCUAAAGCGAUUUAUACUUUUGUCAGGUGUUGCU